AAUAUUGGUACAAAUGGUUAAUGUGUUUGGCUGCUAACCAAAAGGUUGGUGGUUUGAGUCUACCCAGAGGUG
rnacentral:tRNA from 1 species